rnacentral:tRNA from 1 species
GGGGACGUAGCUCAGCCUGGCAGAGCACCGGCUUUGCAAGCCGGGGGUCGUGGGUUCAAAUCCCAUCGUCUCCACCA